GAAGGUUUUCGGAUCGUAAAGCUCUGUUGUUAGGGAAGAACAAGUGCGAGAGUAACUGCUCGCACCUUGACGGUACCUAACCAGAAAGCCACGGCUAACUACGUGCCAGCAGCCGCGGUAAUACGUAGGUGGCAAGCGUUGUCCGGAAUUAUUGGGCGUAAAGGGCUCGCAGGCGGUUUCUUAAGUCUGAUGUGAAAGCCCCCGGCUCAACCGGGGAGGGUCAUUGGAAACUGGGAAACUUGAGUGCAGAAGAGGAGAGUGGAAUUCCACGUGUAGCGGUGAAAUGCGUAGAGAUGUGGAGGAACACCAGUGGCGAAGGCGACUCUCUGGUCUGUAACUGACGCUGAGGAGCGAAAGCGUGGGGAGCGAACAGGAUUAGAUACCCUGGUAGUCCACGCCGUAAACGAUGAGUGCUAAGUGUUAGGGGGUUUCCGCCCCUUAGUGCUGCAGCUAACGCAUUAAGCACUCCGCCUGGGGAGUACGGUCGCAAGACUGAAACUCAAAGGAAUUGACGGGGGCCCGCACAAGCGGUGGAGCAUGUGGUUUAAUUCGAAGCAACGCGAAGAACCUUACCAGGUCUUGACAUCCUCUGACAACCCUAGAGAUAGGGCUUUCCCUUCGGGGACAGAGUGACAGGUGGUGCAUGGUUGUCGUCAGCUCGUGUCGUGAGAUGUUGGGUUAAGUCCCGCAACGAGCGCAACCCUUGAUCUUAGUUGCCAGCAUUCAGUUGGGCACUCUAAGGUGACUGCCGGUGACAAACCGGAGGAAGGUGGGGAUGACGUCAAAUCAUCAUGCCCCUUAUGACCUGGGCUACACACGUGCUACAAUGGACAGAACAAAGGGCUGCAAGACCGCAAGGUUUAGCCAAUCCCAUAAAUCUGUUCUCAGUUCGGAUCGCAGUCUGCAACUCGACUGCGUGAAGCUGGAAUCGCUAGUAAUCGCGGAUCAGCAUGCCGCGGUGAAUACGUUCCCGGGCCUUGUACACACCGCCCGUCACACCACGAGAGUUUG
rnacentral:rRNA from 1 species